AUACGAAAGGUGCAAGCGUUGUCCGGAUUUACUGGGCGUAAAGAGAGUGUAGGUUGUUUAUUAAGUCGGAUGUGAAAUCCCGGGGCUCAACCUCGGAACUGCAUUCGAUACUGAUAGGCUAGAGUUUGGGAGGGGUAAGCGGAAUUCCGUGUGUAGCAGUGAAAUGCGUAGAUAUACGGAGGAACACCUGAGGCGAAGGCGGCUUACUGGACCAAUACUGACACUGAGACUCGAAAGCGUGGGUAGCAAACAGGAUUAGAAACCCUAGUAGUCC
rnacentral:rRNA from 1 species